GACGUAGGGUCCCAGCGUUGUCCGGAUUUACUGGGCGUAAAGAGCACGUAGGCGGCUUGUUAAGUGUGAAGUGAAAUCUCCAGAGCUCAACUCGGAAACCGCUUCGCAUACUGGCAAGCUAGAGGAAUGCAGAGGUAAGUGGAAUUCCUGGUGUAGCGGUGAAAUGCAUAGAUAUCAGGAGGAACACCCAUGGCGAAGGCAGCUUACUGGGCAUUAUCUGACGCUGAGGUGCGAAAGCGUGGGGAGCAAACAGG
rnacentral:rRNA from 1 species